AUUAGAGUGCACUAUGAUGGCAUGAUUAGCAUUUUAAUAAUAGGAUGAGUUGAGUUUAUUAAGAAGAGAUGAGCAGGACUAGUACCUAACAUUUUCUCUACAAAAUUUCGAUGAUGGCAAUGAGAUGCUCCUCCUCCUCGCCUUCCACUUUCAUGAUCAUGCCGAAACCGAAGCCGAAACGUGUUGAGCUCAAGAAGCCGUUUAGCAGACUGCUCAUGUUUACGAAACCGCAGACUCAGCACCAAACGCCCCUGCUGCUUCGGAUCAACUCAUCCUUCAACAACAUAGACAUAGUUUACGAAGAUCCUUGCAACGGUAUUAUUUGCCAUACGGAUGAAAACGGAGAUAUGAUCUGCGAAGGAUAUGACGAAGGUCCUCGACUGAACCACCAACAGUUGGCAAGAUUGGCCUGUAAUACUUAUGGAGAUACGAAGAUCAUCGAUAUGUUACAACGGAGUUGGCUGAAAGUGGCUGCCGACAAGGAAAAUGUUGCCGCCGCCCGGUAUUCGACUACCGUGGAUUCUCCGUAGCUUUCUGCUAACUAAAUACUACUGCUUAUAGCUACGAGUGCCAACAUUGACAAGAAUUGAUUCUAAACUGUACAAAUGUAAAAGACUAGACUGUUUGCUUCCACUUCUAAAGCUAGAAUAACAUCAAAUGUGAAACAGGGAGGCACUUUUACCUUCUCGGUGCUCCAUUUCGUAAAUAAGUGGCGAAUUUGUAAUACUGAAACUGUUGCACUUGUACAAGUAGAAUUUUGUUUGAUCA